rnacentral:rRNA from 1 species
AGAGUUUGAUCAUGGCUCAGAAUGAACGUUGGCGGCGUGGAUUAGGCAUGCAAGUCGAACGGGCCCCGCAAGGGGUCAGUGGCGAAAGGGAGAGGAAUACGUAGGUACCUGCCUCCGGGUCGGGGAUAGCCACGGGAAACUGUGGGUAAUACCCGAUAAUGUCUCCGGACCAAAGGUGUGACUCCACCUGGAGAGGGGCCUGCGUCCUAUUAGCUAGUUGGCGGGGUAAUGGCCCACCAAGGCUACGAUGGGUACGGGGUGUGAGAGCAUGCCCCCGCUCACUGGGACUGAGAUACUGCCCAGACACCUACGGGUGGCUGCAGUCGAGAAUCUUCCGCAAUGGGCGCAAGCCUGACGGAGCGACGCCGCGUGUGGGAUGAAGGCCUUCGGGUUGUAAACCACUGUCGUAGGGGAGGAAGGACCGGUGAAGAGCCGGUUUUGACCUAUCCUAGGAGGAAGGGUGGGCUAAGUUCGUGCCAGCAGCCGCGGUAAGACGAACCACCCAAACGUUAUUCGGAAUUACUGGGCUUAAAGGGUGCGUAGGCGGCGUGGAAAGUUGGGUGUGAAAUCCCUCGGCUCAACCGAGGAACUGCGCUCAAAACUACCAUGCUCGAGGAAGACAGAGGUAAGCGGAACUUCGGGUGGAGCGGUGAAAUGCGUUGAUAUCCGAAGGAACACCGGUGGCGAAAGCGGCUUACUG